GAACGCUGGCGGCAUGCCUUACACAUGCAAGUCGAACGGCAGCACGGGAGCAAUCCUGGUGGCGAGUGGCGAACGGGUGAGUAAUAUAUCGGAACGUGCCCAGUCGUGGGGGAUAACGCAGCGAAAGUUGUGCUAAUACCGCAUACGAUCUAUGGAUGAAAGCGGGGGAUCGCAAGACCUCGCGCGAUUGGAGCGGCCGAUAUCAGAUUAGGUUGUUGGUGAGGUAAAAGCUCACCAAGCCUGCGAUCUGUAGCUGGUCUGAGAGGACGACCAGCCACACUGGAGCUGAGACACGGUCCAGACUCCUACGGGAGGCAGCAGUGGGGAAUUUUGGACAAUGGACGAAAGUCUGAUCCAGCAAUGCCGCGUGCAGGACGAAGGCCUUCGGGUUGUAAACUGCUUUUGUACAGAACGAAAAAGUCUUUAAUAACACUAGAGGCGUCAUGACGGUACUGUAAGAAUAAGCACCGGCUAACUACGUG
rnacentral:rRNA from 1 species